GGGUUGUGAGGUUAAGCGACUAAGCGUACACGGUGGAUGCCCUGGCAGUCAGAGGCGAUGAAGGGCGUGCUAAUCUGCGAUAAGCGCCGGUAAGGUGAUAUGAACCGUUAUAACCGGCGAUACCCGAAUGGGGAAACCCAGUGUGACUCGUCACACUAUCAUUAACUGAAUCCAUAGGUUAAUGAGGCGAACCGGGGGAACUGAAACAUCUAAGUACCCCGAGGAAAAGAAAUCAACCGAGAUUCCCCCAGUAGCGGCGAGCGAACGGGGAGGAGCCCAGAGCCUGAAUCAGCAUGUGUGUUAGUGGAAGCGUCUGGAAAGGCGCGCGAUACAGGGUGACAGCCCCGUACACAAAAGCGCAUGUGCUGUGAGCUCGAUGAGUAGGGCGGGACACGUGGUAUCCUGUCUGAAUAUGGGGGGACCAUCCUCCAAGGCUAAAUACUCCUGACUGACCGAUAGUGAACCAGUACCGUGAGGGAAAGGCGAAAAGAACCCCGGCGAGGGGAGUGAAAAAGAACCUGAAACCGUGUACGUACAAGCAGUGGGAGCACCCUUUGGGUGUGACUGCGUACCUUUUGUAUAAUGGGUCAGCGACUUAUAUUCUGUAGCAAGGUUAACCGAAUAGGGGAGCCGGAGGGAAACCGAGUCUUAACCGGGCGUUAAGUUGCAGGGUAUAGACCCGAAACCCGGUGAUCUAGCCAUGGGCAGGUUGAAGGUUGGGUAACACUAACUGGAGGACCGAACCGACUAAUGUUGAAAAAUUAGCGGAUGACCUGUGGCUGGGGGUGAAAGGCCAAUCAAACCGGGAGAUAGCUGGUUCUCCCCGAAAGCUAUUUAGGUAGCGCCUCGUGAAUUCAUCUCCGGGGGUAGAGCACUGUUUCGGCUAGGGGGCCAUCCCGGCUUACCAACCCGAUGCAAACUGCGAAUACCGGAGAAUGUUAUCACGGGAGACACACGGCGGGUGCUAACGUCCGUCGUGAAGAGGGAAACAACCCAGACCGCCAGCUAAGGUCCCAAAGUCAUGGUUAAGUGGGAAACGAUGUGGGAAGGCCCAGACAGCCAGGAUGUUGGCUUAGAAGCAGCCAUCAUUUAAAGAAAGCGUAAUAGCUCACUGGUCGAGUCGGCCUGCGCGGAAGAUGUAACGGGGCUAAACCAUGCACCGAAGCUGCGGCAGCGACACUGUGUGUUGUUGGGUAGGGGAGCGUUCUGUAAGCCUGCGAAGGUGGCCUGUGAGGGUUGCUGGAGGUAUCAGAAGUGCGAAUGCUGACAUAAGUAACGAUAAAGCGGGUGAAAAGCCCGCUCGCCGGAAGACCAAGGGUUCCUGUCCAACGUUAAUCGGGGCAGGGUGAGUCGACCCCUAAGGCGAGGCCGAAAGGCGUAGUCGAUGGGAAACGGGUUAAUAUUCCCGUACUUGGUGUUACUGCGAAGGGGGGACGGAGAAGGCUAUGUUGGCCGGGCGACGGUUGUCCCGGUUUAAGCGUGUAGGUGUGUGUUCCAGGUAAAUCCGGUUCACUUUAACACUGAGGCGUGACGACGAGGCACUACGGUGCUGAAGCAACAAAUGCCCUGCUUCCAGGAAAAGCCUCUAAGCAUCAGGUAACAUCAAAUCGUACCCCAAACCGACACAGGUGGUCAGGUAGAGAAUACCAAGGCGCUUGAGAGAACUCGGGUGAAGGAACUAGGCAAAAUGGUGCCGUAACUUCGGGAGAAGGCACGCUGACACGUAGGUGAAGUGAUUUACUCAUGGAGCUGAAGUCAGUCGAAGAUACCAGCUGGCUGCAACUGUUUAUUAAAAACACAGCACUGUGCAAACACGAAAGUGGACGUAUACGGUGUGACGCCUGCCCGGUGCCGGAAGGUUAAUUGAUGGGGUCAGCGCAAGCGAAGCUCCUGAUCGAAGCCCCGGUAAACGGCGGCCGUAACUAUAACGGUCCUAAGGUAGCGAAAUUCCUUGUCGGGUAAGUUCCGACCUGCACGAAUGGCGUAAUGAUGGCCAGGCUGUCUCCACCCGAGACUCAGUGAAAUUGAACUCGCUGUGAAGAUGCAGUGUACCCGCGGCAAGACGGAAAGACCCCGUGAACCUUUACUAUAGCUUGACACUGAACAUUGAGCCUUGAUGUGUAGGAUAGGUGGGAGGCUUUGAAGUGUGGACGCCAGUCUGCAUGGAGCCGACCUUGAAAUACCACCCUUUAAUGUUUGAUGUUCUAACGUGGACCCGUUACCCGGGUUGCGGACAGUGUCUGGUGGGUAGUUUGACUGGGGCGGUCUCCUCCUAAAGAGUAACGGAGGAGCACGAAGGUUGGCUAAUCCUGGUCGGACAUCAGGAGGUUAGUGCAAUGGCAUAAGCCAGCUUGACUGCGAGCGUGACGGCGCGAGCAGGUGCGAAAGCAGGUCAUAGUGAUCCGGUGGUUCUGAAUGGAAGGGCCAUCGCUCAACGGAUAAAAGGUACUCCGGGGAUAACAGGCUGAUACCGCCCAAGAGUUCAUAUCGACGGCGGUGUUUGGCACCUCGAUGUCGGCUCAUCACAUCCUGGGGCUGAAGUAGGUCCCAAGGGUAUGGCUGUUCGCCAUUUAAAGUGGUACGCGAGCUGGGUUUAGAACGUCGUGAGACAGUUCGGUCCCUAUCUGCCGUGGGCGCUGGAGAACUGAGGGGGGCUGCUCCUAGUACGAGAGGACCGGAGUGGACGCAUCACUGGUGUUCGGGUUGUCAUGCCAAUGGCACUGCCCGGUAGCUAAAUGCGGAAGAGAUAAGUGCUGAAAGCAUCUAAGCACGAAACUUGCCCCGA
rnacentral:rRNA from 2 species